rnacentral:rRNA from 1 species
AGUGAACGCUGGCGGUAGGCCUAACACAUGCAAGUCGAACGGCAGCACAGUAAGAGCUUGCUCUUACGGGUGGCGAGUGGCGGACGGGUGAGGAAUACAUCGGAAUCUACUUUUUCGUGGGGGAUAACGUAGGGAAACUUACGCUAAUACCGCAUACGACCUACGGGUGAAAGCAGGGGAUCUUCGGACCUUGCGCGAUUGAAUGAGCCGAUGUCGGAUUAGCUAGUUGGCGGGGUAAAGGCCCACCAAGGCGACGAUCCGUAGCUGGUCUGAGAGGAUGAUCAGCCACACUGGAACUGAGACACGGUCCAGACUCCGACGGGAGGCAGCAGUGGGGAAUAUUGGACAAUGGGCGCAAGCCUGAUCCAGCCAUACCGCGUGGGUGAAGAAGGCCUUCGGGUUGUAAAGCCCUUUUGUUGGGAAAGAAAAGCAGCAGGUUAAUACCCCGCUGUUCUGACGGUACCCAAAGAAUAAGCACCGGCUAACUUC